rnacentral:rRNA from 1 species
UACGUAGGGUGCAAGCGUUAAUCGGAAUUACUGGGCGUAAAGGGCGUGCAGGCGGUUUGUUAAGUCUAGGGUGAAAGCUCCCGGCUCAACUGGGAGAGGUCCUUGGAUACUGGCGAACUUGAGGGAUGCAGAGGAAAGUGGAAUUCCCGGUGUAGUGGUGAUAUGCGUAGAUAUCGGGAGGAACACCAGUGGCGAAGGCGACACGCUGGGCCGUACCUGACACUGAUGCGCGACAGCAUGGGGAGCAAACAGG